AUUGAACGCUGGCGGCAGGCCUAACACAUGCAAGUCGAGCGGAGGAGGGGGGCUUGCUCCCUGAUUUAGCGGCGGACGGGUGAGUAAUGCCUAGGAAUCUGCCUGGUAGUGGGGGAUAACGUUCCGUAAGGAACGCUAAUACCUCAUACGUCCUACGGGAGAAUGCAGGGGACCUUCUGGCCUUGCGCUAUCACAUCACCCUAGGUCGGAUUAGCGAGUUGGUGAGGUAAUGGCUCACCAAGGCGACGAUCCGUAACUGGUCUGAGAGGAUGAUCAGCCACACUGAAACUGAGACACGCCCGAGACCCAUACGGGGGGCAGCAGGGGGGAAUUUUGGAAAAUGGGCGAGAGCCUGAGCCAGACAUGCCGCGUGUGUGAAGAAGGUUUUCGGAGUGUAAAGCACUUUAAGUUGGAGGGAAGGGGUGCUGGUUAAUACCCUGCAGUUUGGACGUUACCAACAGAAUAAGCACCGGCUAAUUUCGU
rnacentral:rRNA from 1 species